rnacentral:lncRNA from 1 species
GCGGAGGUGGUGACCAUUUUACCAUGGAUCUCGGUUGUGGAUACUUCAAAUUCUCAGCACUACUACGAUAUUCCAACCCAAAACUCCUAAUGAAGGUAACAAUUUCCUCCAAACUUUGUACCUUUCUUUCAUGUACAAAUUUAUUUCGAGAGAACCAAAUCGCCCAGAUAGUAACAACAAUUACCCUUUUCCUAUUCUUAUCAGAAUUCUCCAACAGCCAACUCAACCACUCAUUAAAAUUUACCAUUGAACUCGGCCACUAGACGUCUAACUUGGACCAAACUUGUGCAGCAAACAAGCAAUCCCAAACAGUAUGAGUAGAAGAUUCACACCCCUAAC